rnacentral:rRNA from 1 species
UUUAAAGGCAACGUCUAAGGAUGAGUCGGCGGCGGAUUAGGUUGUUGGUGAGGUAACGGCUCACCAAGCCGAAGAUCCGUACGGGCCAUGAGAGUGGUUGCCCGGAGAAGGACACUGAGAAACUGGUCCUAGCCCUACGGGGUGCAGCAGGCGCGAAAACUUUACAAUGCACGAAAGUGUGAUAAGGGAAUCCUAAGUGCUCAUACACAGUAUGGGCUUUUGCCAAGGGUAAAUACCUUGGAGAAUAAGUGGUGGGUAAGACUGGUGCCAGCAGCCGCGGUAACCCCAGCGCCACAAGUGGGAGCCACAAUUAUUUGGCCUAAAGCGUCCGUAGCUGGCUUAGUAAAUCUUUUGUGAAAUCGGAAGGCUCAACCUUCCGGCGUGCAGAAGACACUGCUAAGCUUGAGAUCGGAAGGGGUAAGGAGUAUUCCUAGGGAACCGGUAAAAUGGGAUAAUCCUAGGAAGACUACCUAUGGCGAAGGCACCUUACCAGUACGAGUCUGACAGUGAGGGACGAAGGCUAGGGGAGCGAACCGGAUUAGAUACCCGAGUAGUCCUAGCAGUAAACGCUGCGGGCUAGGUGUUACACCAUCCAUGUGAUUGUGUAGUGUCGUAGCGAAGGCAUUAAGCCCGCCGCCUGGGAAGUAUGGUCGCAAGACUGAAACUUAAAGGAAUUGGCGGGGGAGCAC